UUUGAGUACUGGCUCUCCCUUGUGGUGGACUCCUUGACGCCCUGCCGAGACCUUCACUUGUUGCUUUAGCUGCUGGGAGUGCUCUUGGCAGACAGCAUUAAGCUGUCAGCCCCUCUGUAUUGGCAAAGAUUCAGAGAGACUUCUUGCUCAAGUUCACACUCUUCCCUUACUGGCCCACAUCCAUUUACUGAUUAAGGCAGUGGUAUAAAGGCCUGACCAUUUUCACACAAUGCAGGACCACUCUAAUGGGUCAUUUUUGCUCCAGCAACCCCUGUGGAGUCUGUGUUGGAUUUGCAUCACAGAUGAACCUUUCCCUCUGCUCACUCUUGAUGUCUUCCCUCUCUCCCACAGAUAUUGAUCACAAGGUUACUCCUAAUAAACAUUCUACAUAAGAAACAUCAUAUCAGAGUCUGAUUCCCAGAGACUGAAGUGUGUGACGACUGGUCUGUAGAAUGGUCUGAGAAAGCAGCAGAUGGGGUUUUGGAGUGGGAUCACUUGAAGCCUGGCUGGCAAUGUCAACUGCAUCACUGGGAAUUCAGCUGCAGCCUCGCGUCCUCCAGGAAAUGAUCCUGAACAUCCUGCUGGAUAUAAAUAUUUCUCUCCUGAGCUCCCUGGGCAUCUUGUAUAUACCUCGUUCAUGUGAAUUAUCACGACUGCCCUAAUUGUUGGUGUACUUUUAGUUUUAUAUUCCUGGUACCUGGAAAUAGUUGCUAUUCUGUAAAUAAUGUUUGGUGAUGAUUGUAUGAGUGAACCACUGCUCAAGGCCCACCUUUCCUGAUAAGCCUUCACUGAUUUAUUUAGUCUAUUCUCUAGUCCUGUGACUCCCAGACAUGGCUGAACAUAAAAGCUUUUAAAAAAUACAGAUUUCCACACCCUACCCCAGACCUACUGAAUCUGGGACAAGGCAAAGGCAUCUGGACUUUUAAAAUGUUUCCCACAUGAUUCUACGCUCAGCCCAGACUUGGUAUUAAGAACCCCUGCUCUAAUCUGCCAACACAGUCUAACACAACCCUUCUACCAAUGUGUGCUUAUAGUUAUUAUACUUUAUAUUGUAUUUAUGUAAUAUACUUGUUAUAUUUUCAUUAAAGAAUUUUAAGAUAAUUAUUGGUUUCUAAACUUUUUGAUGAUGCCAGACACCCAGCAGGGUGAUUAUUGCAUGUUUCUCCCUAGUGGCUAGAGAGUAUUUUUCUAUCUCACAUCUUGAAUUUAUUAAUUUACUUGGAGUCCUUUCGUUUUAAGACUGCUGCAUCUCACACUUUGGAUACUAUAAG
rnacentral:lncRNA from 1 species